rnacentral:pre_miRNA from 1 species
AGCUUUUCGAAUCCGUGCAGAGAUUUCGUCAGACACCGACCCAUCAGGGCUGAUCAGACUUUUAAGAUAAGUGAAGUC